rnacentral:rRNA from 1 species
AGAGUUUGAUCCUGGCUCAGGAUGAACGCUGGCGGUAUGCUUAACACAUGCAAGUCGUACGAAGAUGUAAAUCUUAGUGGCGGACGGGUGAGUAACGCGUGAGAAUUUGCCUCAAGGAGGGGAACAACAAUUGGAAACGAUUGCUAAUGCCCCAUAUGCUGAAGAGUGAAAUGGAGUAAUUCGCCUUGAGAAAAGCUCGCGUCUGAUUAGUUUGUUGGUAGGGUAAUGGCCUACCAAGACUACGAUCAGUAGUUGGUCUUAGAGGAUGAUCAGCCACACUGGGACUGAGACACGGCCCAGACUCCUACGGGAGGCAGCAGUGGGGAAUUUUCCGCAAUGGGCGCAAGCCUGACGGAGCAAUACCGCGUGAGGGAAGACGGCUCGUGGGUUGUAAACCUCUUUUCUUAGGAAAGAAUUUUGACGGUACCUAAGGAAUAAGCAUCGGCUAACUCCGUGCCAGCAGCCGCGGUAAUACGGAGGAUGCAAGCGUUAUCCGGAAUCACUGGGUGUAAAGCGUCUGUAGGUUGUUGAAUAAGUCUGCUGUUAAAGCUUAGGGCUCAACCCUAAAAAAGCAGUGGAAACUGUUCGACUAGAGGAUGGUAGGGGUAGAGGGAAUUCCCAGUGUAGCGGUGAAAUGCGUAGAUAUUGGGAAGAACACCAGUGGCGAAGGCGCUCUACUGGGCCAUUACUGACACUGAGAGACGAAAGCUAGGGGAGCAAAUGGGAUUAGAUACCCCAGUAGUCCUAGCUGUAAACGAUGGAUACUAGAUGUUGCGCGUAUCAAUCCGUGCAGUAUCGUAGCUAACGCGUUAAGUAUCCCACCUGGGGAGUAUGCUCGCAAGAGUGAAACUCAAAGAAAUUGACGGGGGCCCGCACAAGCGGUGGAGCAUGUGGUUUAAUUCGAGGCAACGCGAAGAACCUUACCAGGCCUUGACAUGCUUGUCGCGAGUACCAGAGACGGUACUCUUCAGUUCGGCUGGACAAUGCACAGGUGCUGCAUGGCUGUCGUCAGCUCGUGUCGUGAGAUGUUGGGUUAAGUCCCGCAACGAGCGCAACCCUCAUCCUUUGUUGCCAGCACGUAAUGGUGGGAACUCUAAGGAAACUGCCGGAGUUAAUCCGGAGGAAGGUGGGGAUGACGUCAAGUCCUCAUGGCCCUUACGGCCUGGGCUACACACGUGUUACAAUGGGAGUGACAGCGCGCUGCUACCCAGCAAUGGGACGCUAAUCGCUAAAAGCUUCCUCAGUUCAGAUUGUCCUCUGCAACUCGAGGGCAUGAAGUCGGAAUCGCUAGUAAUCGUAGAUCAGCAUGCUACGGUGAAUACGUUCCCGGGUCUUGUACACACCGCCCGUCACAUCAUGGGAGUUGGUUCUGCCUUAAGCCGU